AGAGUUGAUCAUGGCUCAGGAUGAACGCUGGCGGCAUGCCUAAGACAUGCAAGUCGAACGAAGUGGUCCAAUGAAGAUGGAGUGCUUGCACAAAGUUGGAUUUGGUUCGCCACUUAGUGGCAGACGGGUGAGUAACACGUGGGUAACCUACCUCAGAGACUGGGACAACAGUUAGAAAUGACUGCUAAUACCGGAUAAUUUAUAAACGGAUAACUGUUUAUACUAAAAGGAGCUUCGGCUUCACUUUGAGAUGGGCUUGCGGAGCAUUAGCUAGUUGGUAGGGUAAUGGCCUACCAAGGCAACGAUGCUUAUCCGAGCUGAGAGGCUGAUCGGACACACUGGGACUGAGACACGGCCCAGACUCCUACGGGAGACAGCAGUUAGGAAUAUUCGUCAAUGGGGGAAACCCUGAACGAGCAAUGCCGCGUGAGUGAUGACAGUCUUAUAGAUUGUAAAACUCUGUUAUAGAGGAAGAACCCCCAUUAUAGGUAAUGAUAAUGGGCUGACGGUACUCUAUCAGAAAGCCCCGGCUAACUACGUGCCAGCAGCCGCGGUAAUACGUAGGGGGCGAGCGUUAUCCGGAUUUAUUGGGCGUAAAGCGUGUGUAGGCGGUUUAUUAAGUUUAAGAUUAAAGCCCGAGGCUUAACCUCGGUUCGUCUUAAAAACUGAUAGACUUGAGUAUGGUAGAGGCAAAUGGAAUUUCUAGUGUAGCGGUUAAAUGCGUAGAUAUUAGAAGGAACAUCAGUGGCGAAGGCGAUUUGCUGGGCCAUUACUGACGCUGAGACACGAAAGCGUGGGGAGCAAAUAGGAUUAGAUACCCUAGUAGUCCACGCCGUAAACGAUGAGUACUAAGUGUCGGGAAACCGGUGCUGAAGCUAACGCAUUAAGUACUCCGCCUGAGUAGUACGGUCGCAAGACUGAAACUCAAAGGAAUUGACGG
rnacentral:rRNA from 1 species